rnacentral:tRNA from 1 species
GGAUGCAGAACUCGUUUGGUAGAGUGUCCCACUUUUAAUGGGAAAGUUUUUGGUUCGAGCCCAAAUGUAUCCA